rnacentral:lncRNA from 1 species
UUAUGCCUGUUACUUUUAUUCCCAAAUAGGAGGAUUAACUAUUGUGAGAACAGAUAUAGAAGUUAGAAUUAAUUCACUCUGUGUUUCCUCCAUUUAUCAAAAAAAGAAAAAGAAAAACAAAAAGAAAUAGAAAGUCAUUGAACAUUGACAAUUCAAAUGUAACUAUGGUGGCCAGAGAGAAGAAACAACAGAUGCUUAACUGCAAGGAGCUUACAAAUGAAGGAUGAUAACUGUCGCAAACAAUUAUACUGUACAGCUCUGUGGGAUAAACUGAUACCAAAAUCAUAAGCAUAAUAAUAAUAACUCAUUUAAUUUCUGAAACAAACCAUUGUUGAAACUAUUAUUUUCCCCAUUUAGCCGACAAGGACAUCAAGGCUCAGAAAGGUUAGGUGACUUGUUUAAAUUGUGAAAACACAGCAGUACAGCUGGGUUUUCGAUCCACGCUCCAGCUUGUAAACUGUCCUGUAUUUUGUUUGUUUAGGGGUCAUUUCCUGCUUAGGUAGUCAAAGGAAUCAUCAUGGAAAGGAGAGGUAUAAAUUGGUCCUUAAGAGAUGGGCUGCAUCUUUUUCUUUCUCCGGGUUUAUUGGGAUAUAACUGACAUAUUGUAUAGGUUGAAGAUGUACAAGACGAUAAUCUGGCAUACAAGUAUAUUUAGUUAACACAUCUAUCACCUCACAUAGUUAACUGUGCAUGUGGUGGUGGGGGGAGUACAUUUAAAAUCUACUUUCUUAGCAAUGUUCAGAUAUACAAUACAAUAUUACUAACUAUUGUCAUCAGUAUGCUAAGUGAAAUAAGUCAGAGAAAGACAAAUACUAUAUGAUCUCACUUAUACUUGUAAUCUUAAAAUGUUGAACGCAGAGAAACAGAGAGUAGAUCGGUGUUUCCCAGAGGCUGAGUGUUACAUCUUAAUGAUUUCUAAGAAGAUGGAAUAGUAUGGGCAAAAUGCUCAGAAGUGAGUACAUCUACCUAGUGCUCUAGGAAAAGUGAGUUUUCCUGUUUGGCUGGUAUUCAAGGUCCAUGUAGAAGGUAGCAGAAAUAUAAUAUCAAAAACGUAGCUUGGAUUCAGAUAUAAUAGGAUUUGAAAAACUAACAAGCCAGAUUAUUUUCUUUAGCAGUAAGACACUAUUACAUUUAUUUUCUUCCUCACUGUUGUCCCAAAGGCAUUCUUUCUGACUUAAGAAUUCAUGUGUAAAGAAGAGGAUAAAAUGGGUGAGUAAAACACUGUAUGAAAGAGUGUAUAAUCCCACCACUGAUAAAGCCCACCACUAGCUCCAAUAAUUGAUUUGCAACUCCAGUUCUUAAAAUGACUUGCUUAGCAGAUUACAGCUACUUUCGUAUUUACUUUUUAUUUUCCUUCCAAUUGCUAUAGUUACCAAUCAUCCAAAUGAAGUGAUGAAGUUUCAUUCCAAAUUUAGCAAGUAAGAGAGUAAGUAAAUAAAUUAAUUGAGGAUAAAUACAGAGGCAAUUAUAAAGAAUGUUAGGCUUAAUUUGAAAUAUUUACAUAUCAGUUUUUAAACAAUCACUUCAAUAUCUAUUUAAAUGUUAUUAAUUCCUUCUGAAACAUCUUGAAUAUCCUGAAUAAAAAUUGGAAAGUAUUAUUAUGUCUGUUGAAGACCUUAGGUAUUAUAGGGUUCAACAUUCAGGAUCUUUUUGCAAGUGGUUACUAGCUUAGGGUAUUAGCUUAUGUCCUAUCUACAUUAGCUGAGAUAUAGAAAGUCUAAUUGCAUAGUCACUAUGGUAGGCCAUGGUUGACAAUGACUAUACAGCCAUGGCAUUUUCCCCUACCUCUCCAUUUUUAACUACUUACAUUAAACUACAAAAUUGCGUAUAUCCCAAUUUCUCCCACAUAAUUCCAACAGAGGUCAAACAAACACUAGUUUUAAAGUUGCUUUCUCUUUUUAUAGGGCAGGAAAUGGCAUUAUUGAGGUAAAUUGGAGAAGAAGGAAAACCUUCCCAGCUUUCAUCAUUACUUUGGAGGCAGGAGUAAAAAGGGAAAGAAGUGAUAACUCUACCAUUACACAGAAAUAAAUGCAGUAGACGGUUACCUACAGAGUACUGGCUGAGGAGCUCUGACCUCCAAAUAUCUCCCUGACCACGUACUGAAAUGUCCACAAUUACAAGUUCUCCUUAGGGGUCUCUAGGAAUCCUUUGCAUCUUUACUGUUUGGAGCAUUAUAUUUACAGGAAGAUACAAUGAAUAAUUAAAAUGCCAAAAGAGGACAUUUCAUCUAAAAAAUAUACUACCACUCAUUGUCAUUCACGAGAGAGCAAGAAACCAAAAGAAUGACACUCAGAAGGGAGCCAUCCUGAUGGUCAGGAAGAAGGUAGUUUGAGGAAAGCAUAAGCACUGUACCAGUGUGUGUGUGUGUGUGUGUGUGUGUGUGUGUGUGUGUGUUGGAGUAGACAGAACACAAAAUGAGUAGUGCUUUCAAUGAAGCAUAGUGUACUAGUGCAGGUCUACCAAGAAGCACAUGUCAGGAUGCGAUUAGAUGAGCAGGAGACUUAAUAGUAAAGAAAAUAAGAAAAGAUGAGGAAAGGGAACAAGAGGAAGCAGAGAAAGCCUCCAGCCAGACCAUGAUGUAGGUUUGACACCUGUGGAAGGAGAGACUGAAGAAAGGGAGAUCUUAUAGGAAGAAUUAUGGACUGUAACGGGUGUUCCAGAGAGAUUCGACCAGGCCAAGUGGGAAGCCCUUGUGCCAAAGUCGCUAUAUCAGGAGUUCUACCUGUUACGGGAAUAGACCACCUUAUUAUCCUCUCUGUGAUCAGGCAUUGGCUGGGAGCAGCCUGUCAGAGGUGUGGCUUUGGUGCCUGGUUGGUCCAGAGGGAUAGCAGCUAGGACCCAUUAGUCACUUAUGUUCUCUGAUCUGAGCGGCACAUCUUCAUGGCCACCACAAGUAGCAAUUUUGAACAUUAGCAUUUUGUAUAUUUUUUUUGACCCUCAGAAUUAUUACAAUGUUGACUACAACCAGAAAGCAGUGUAUGAUAUCUAUUAAUCAUUUCCAUUUCAUAACAUUUAUUUAGUUUCUAUGUUAUAUAUAAUUAAAUCUUUUUAUGACAUAAAAAUAAGUUACAUGUGUAAUGUUAUUUUUUAAUUCUAACCACUUGUUUUCAGGAGCAUCACAAAAUCCAAGGGGUAACAACUGUUCUCAACAUAUUCAUAAUUCCACACAUUCCUGGGGAAGCAAAUCCCCCAUCACUAACAGUGACUUCCACAGCAGUGAUUCUCAGUCCUUAUGGCAGAGAUACUCCUUGGUAUUACAUCAUUAUUUCCAAGUUGGCAUGUGGUGGGAGACUUUGAACUCUAGUAUCCAUCACAUCAUCACCAAACCUAAUGUGAGAGUUGCCAGUUCUACGGUGGUUGUGCCUGCAAUUUUAAGAAACUUCCAAUGUUUGUGCUCAGCUGUGCUGAGGAUCACUGCUUUAGGGAAGGGGUUCUCAAGUUUGAAUCUGCAUAAAAAUGGGAGAGGAGGAGGCUUGUUAAAAACAGAUCUGUUUCAGCAGGUCUGGGGGAUGUCCUAUUAAUGAGCAUUUUGAGUGAGCAUCACUAGGUGAUUCUAUGAUUUCAGAUGGGCCACAGAAACAUAUUUCCAGAAACAUUAAAUCAGGGCCAUAAUCGGCUAUCCCUAAACUAUAAUGAGUCAAAAGUCAUCUCGACUCAAUGGAGCCAUGUAGCAGGAAAGGGGGUGGGGUGGGAAGGCAGGGGGCGGAGUGAGGGCACAUUAGAUGGAGAAAUAGAAAGAUGGUAAGACAGAAGGAAUAGGGAAAACCCAAUGGUGGAGAAGUACAUAUGAUCUAUAUAGCUAUAUCCAUCAAUCUAUGUAUAUAUCUUAUCAUCAACUUCAUUAGAAAACCUAUUUCAGUUCACAGAACUAAAAUGAUGCAUCAAAAAAACAGUCUUUAUUAUUUUGCAGCUUAGUGUUCUGUUUUCAUCUUGAUUAUAAUUAUGAAAUAUACACAUAUACAUACAUGUAUGUAUGCAUGUAUACAUAAUACAUACACAUAUAUGUAUUAUAUCAUUAUAUAUACAAUUUGUGUGCAUGUGCACACACACACUGUUUUCUUAGGUCUUCUUAGCUUUUUUUUUUUUUUAAGUUUAUUUAUUUUGAGAGAGACAGAGAUAGCAUGAGUGGGGGAGGAGCAGAAAGAGAAGGAGAGAGAGAAUCCCCAGCAGGCUCCAUGCUGCUAGCACAGAGCCCCAUUGGGGCUUGAGCCCACGAAGCCACAAGAUCAUGACCUGAGCUGGAAUCAAGAGUCAGACGCUUGCUUAACUGACUGAGCUACCCAGGCACCCCAGCUUUAUUUUUGAUACAAAAGAAUGGUGCUUAUCUUGCACAUAUAUCACAUAUUAUAAAAUAUUAUAUAUCUGAUCAUUUGUACUCUUUCUCUCUUUUUUUAGGAGAGGGAGGGAGAAGGAGGGGAGAGGGAGACAGGGAGGGAGGGAGGGAGGGAGGGAGAGAGAGAGAGAGAGAGAAAGAGAGAGAGAAUCUUGAGCAGGCUCCUCACUCAGAACAGAGCCAGAUGCAAGGCUUGAUCCCAUGAUUCUGGGAUCAUGACCUGAGCUGAAGCCAAGAGUCCACCGCCUAACCAACUGAGCCACAGGUGCCCCCAUACUCUAUAAUUAUAAAGUAAAAGGCAAGAGCCAUGAUUGCUGUGCAGUUAUCUGCACAAUUACAAUAUUAACAUAAAUACAGCCUUUUCCUUAUUUUACAGUUUUCAAAGUAUAUAUCAAAUAUGAAUGCAGGAUGAAAAGGUGAGGCUAGCAAGUAGAUGGUGACAAACCAUUUCACGAGGUGGGGCAAACACUUAUUUUUAUUACUUAGUGUUUCUGUUAUUUCCAAGCACCUUUUUGAAUAUUGAUACAGAAAAUAAUGCCAUCUAUAUGCUGCAUGGUGAAAGUAUUAUGUUUCUGUAGCCCUUGGCUUGCAUCCCUGUUGUCAUCACCGAGCUGAUAUUAUUGUGACAUUUUGACACUGUACUGUGACACAGUGACCUGGUGCCUCCAGCACCCUAGAAGGACAAGCUGACGAGGGCACAUAGUGCAUUAGGAAGCAGUGAAGCAGUUCAUUACUGCUACAGAGAGAAAGUCUGCUCUGGAGACAAGAAUUCUUAUCUAAGGCACAAGACACUCUCGAUUCUCUUUCCUGCUCUGUUACUGGAUUACUAUGAGAUCUGUGACAAACAAUUUUAAUUCGUUGGUGCCUCAGUUUUCCUGUCUGUACAAUGAAAAUGACCCAAGCAUAUAUGAUGNAAGUAUUAUGUUUCUGUAGCCCUUGGCUUGCAUCCCUGUUGUCAUCACCGAGCUGAUAUUAUUGUGACAUUUUGACACUGUACUGUGACACAGUGACCUGGUGCCUCCAGCACCCUAGAAGGACAAGCUGACGAGGGCACAUAGUGCAUUAGGAAGCAGUGAAGCAGUUCAUUACUGCUACAGAGAGAAAGUCUGCUCUGGAGACAAGAAUUCUUAUCUAAGGCACAAGACACUCUCGAUUCUCUUUCCUGCUCUGUUACUGGAUUACUAUGAGAUCUGUGACAAACAAUUUUAAUUCGUUGGUGCCUCAGUUUUCCUGUCUGUACAAUGAAAAUGACCCAAGCAUAUAUGAUGUUUUUCUUGAUCCUAAGAGAGUGAUUAUGUUUGCAGCCCAUUCUUGGUAAACAGAAAUUUUGGAAAAUUAAAUGAGGACAGGUAAGUGACUUCAGUACUGUCAUAGAUUGAGAAGAACAAUUUACUGCCCUGACUUGCUCUCGUCUGGGCCCUGUCUCCCAUGACAGUGCAGCCAUGAAA